rnacentral:rRNA from 1 species
GACGGAGGGUGCUAGCGUUGUUCGGAAUGACUGGGCGUAAAGGGCGCGUAGGCGGCCGCUUGCGUCGGAUGUGAAAGCCCGGGGCUCAACCCCGGAACGGCAUUCGAUACGGGGCGGCUCGAGACCGAGAGAGGUGAGUGGAAUACCCAGUGUAGAGGUGAAAUUCGUAGAUAUUGGGUGGAACACCGGUGGCGAAAGCGGCUCACUGGCUCGGUUCUGACGCUGAGGCGCGAAAGCGUGGGGAGCAAACAGG